UACGAAGGGGGCUAGCGUUGUUCGGAAUUACUGGGCGUAAAGCGCCCGUAGGCGGACUAUUAAGUCAGGGGUGAAAUCCCGGGGCUCAACCCCGGAACUGCCUUUGAUACUGGUAGUCUCGAGUCCGGAAGAGGUAAGUGGAACUGCGAGUGUAGAGGUGAAAUUCGUAGAUAUUCGCAAGAACACCAGUGGCGAAGGCGGCUUACUGGUCCGGUUCUGACGCUGAGGCGCGAAAGCGUGGGGAGCAAACAGG
rnacentral:rRNA from 1 species